AGCAGCCGCGGUAAUUCCAGCUCCAAUAGCGUAUAUUAAAGUUGCUGCAGUUAAAAAGCUCGUAGUUGGAUUUCUGGUUUGAUACAUUUUGCCGGCCACGGUUUCGUGUGUUAGUGCUUUAUGUUCUGACCAUCCUUCCAAUCGCUGCUCACUUUUCUUCAUUGAUUGGUGAGUGGUAUUGGAUCUUUUACUUUGAAAAAAU
rnacentral:rRNA from 1 species